rnacentral:snRNA from 1 species
AACAAUCCUCAUGCUUUGAAUGC